rnacentral:rRNA from 1 species
AUGUCGAAGAAUGUACUUGCAUGCGGGAUUGACUUCAUCAACACGCACGUGGACGUUUGUCCCGACAAGACGAUCUUGCAGUAUAGCGUGACAUGCAAGAUAUGGGAUGGUGACUUCCACCACAAACUUCUGAGGACGCAUUUUGCCAUGCAUGGUGAUUUCAAGCUCACAUUGAAAAAAUAUGAGCUUGCACCACACAACCGAGAUGACAAGUGUGGCCACCACUACGCGAUCUGCGUUGACCUGAAGUACCAACGUUUUGAGGUGCUUGAUUUGAUCCGCUCAGAAGAAGAUACAUAUCUGACGACGCAUGCUGAAUUCUUCAUCGCUAACCUGAAAGAGGCAUGGAAGCGACACUACCAAAACUCGAAGGUCCAGAUCAGCCAUUUUCCAAUUGAGUAUGUGACGACUGAGAAGCAAGGAAACGGGCACGACUGCGGCUUUCAUGCUUUGGAGUAG